GGAAUAUUGGUCAAUGGGCGCGAGCCUGAACCAGCCAAGUAGCGUGCAGGAUGACGGCCCUAUGGGUUGUAAACUGCUUUUAUGCGGGGAUAAAGUGCACCACGUGUGGUGUUUUGUAGGUACCGCAUGAAUAAGGACCGGCUAAUUCCGUGCCAGCAGCCGCGGUAAUACGGAAGGUCCGGGCGUUAUCCGGAUUUAUUGGGUUUAAAGGGAGCGCAGACGGCCUUGUAAGCGUGCAGUGAAAGCCCGGGGCUCACCCCCGGCGAGCUGCGCGAACUGCUGGGCUUGAGUGCGCGGAACGCGGGCGGAAUUCGUGGUGUAGCGGUGAAAUGCUUAGAUAUCACGAGGAACUCCGAUUGCGAAGGCAGCCCGCGGCAGCGCUACUGACGUGCAUGCUCGAAGGUGCGGGUAUCGAACA
rnacentral:rRNA from 1 species